rnacentral:rRNA from 1 species
CGUUGUUCAACUGGCGUGCCCGCGGGACGUCCUGCCGGUGAGCUCAGCCCGCGGGGGCGGCUCAACUUGAAAUCCCAUCGCGGUGCUCUUCAUUGAGUGUCGAGGUGGGCCGGCACUAUCACUUUAAAACAAAUUAGAGUGCUUAAAGCGCGCUAAUUUUUUCCCUGAAUACUGUGUAUAUGGGAUAAUAGGAGUAAGGACCCUCGGGUUCUAUAUUGUGGGUGUUUGGAACCCCGAGGUAUUGAUUUAUAUGAACGGAUAGGGGGCGCUUGUAUAGUGACGUGUGAGAUGAAAUAUUUGGAUAGUCGCAAGACGGAGUAAAGAGAAAACAUUUGCCAAAAACGCUUUCAUUGAUCAAGAAAGAAAGUUAGAGGUUCGAAGAGGAUCAGAUACCGCCCUAGUUCUAACCAUAAACUAUACCAGCUAGCGAUCUGCCGACGUCCCUCUGAUGACUCGGCGGGCAGCUUCCGGGAAACCAAAGCUUUUGGGUUCCGGGGGAAGUAUGGUUGCAAAGCGGAAACUUAAAGGAAUAGACGGAAGGGCACCCCCCGGAGUGGAGCCCGCGGGUUAAUUUGACUCUACACGGGAAACCUCUCCAGGCCCCGACACUGGAAGGAUUGACAGAUUGAGAGAUCUUUUUUGAUUCAGUGGGUGGGGGGGCAUGGCCGUUUUUAGUCGGUGGAGAGAUUUGUCAGGUUAAUUCUGAUAACGGACGAGACUCUGACCUGAUAACUAGACGCACUUGCGGCAUCUCAAAGGUCCGCCGGCGGCGGCCUUUGCGCCGCUCGUCGCCCCGGAUUUUUACUACCGGCGUACAACAAUUAAUUCUUGAGGGACAAGUAG